GAUGUCAAUUGCCCGCUCCUGCAUCAGCACGCUACCAGUAGAAAUACUAGUAUUAUCAUACCAGUUGACGGGAUAGACUGCCUAUUCAUCCCCUGUGAAAAGCAUACAUAACUAUGCCAUUUUGCUCGCGGCGCUGAAACUGGCAAUGGUCGACAGAGUAAAGCUUCGGUACGCCAAAUAAAGGGAUCCGAGUUCGUAUCUCAUUUACUUUAACAACCUCCAAGCGCACUCGUACCUGAGAUCUCAGAACCAGAAUCGGUAGUCUUCACUCGACGUCACAGCCGACAUUCAUGAUGAAAGCAAUUAACCGCAUUUGAGUUUUGGUUGUGGCUAUUCAAAGACAGAUGUCGCUGAUCGCAUAAGUUGUUCGAAAUCACCAAAAAGCGAGAGGUCGUGUUUUCUACAAGCAACAGCGGAGUCGUUUCAGCAGACGAGUGGUGGCAUUUUUCUGAUUUUGGUACAGCUGUGUUAAAAGCCUUUUACUUUCAAAUAAAGUUAUUAAAAUUUGAUUAAUAUCUGUGAGUUUUUAUAAACUAUUUAAUAAGGUGUUUGUGGACG